AUGGACUGCUUGACUUUUGCCCGCAGAUCUGUAGGGCAUGGCCAUGAAGUAAGCAAAGGACUUGACGCCGCCCCUCCCCUGCAAAAGAGAGAAGACGUCAAGGUCACCAACCGUCACACCUCUUGUCGCUCACAUGAUGAAGCACAUCCACCACCGGCACCCGAAUACCAGCCGGAGUGCAUACCGAGUAGCACGCCAACCAAGGAUGCCGCCCCGGCAUCUCACUCCGAACCUAUCGCCUUGGCCGCUUUUGGGGAAGUGACUGGGCUAGACACCAACUAUGCUAAAAGUCUGGUGGCUCCCAUUCGUUGUGGCAACAUUAAUCUAGAUGAAACUCUGCAGGCCUUCCCGGCGGUGCGCACCACGUUCCCGAUGCAGUAUCUUGGCCUCCCGCUAUCAGUCAAACGCCUCAAAAGCAUUCAUUUUCAACAACUUGUCGACAAGGUCGCCGGCAAACUCCCUCCUUGGCAGGGAAGGCAUGACGCCAGUGUUGAGCGUGUGGUUCUUGUCAAGGCGGUCCUCACGUCCAUUGCAAUUCAUCAUCUCACGCCUCUCGACAUCCCCGUAGAGGGCCUUAACGCAACUGACAGUCUUUGGCGUGCUUACCUUUUGGAGGGCGCUCACAAAGUUUCGGGAGGAAAAUGCAAGAUCAACUGGGACCUAGUCUGCAAGCCUAAACAAUUUGGUGGCUUGGGUGUGCUCAACUUGGACAAAUUCACUAAGGCCCUUCGUCUCCGAUGGCUAUGGUUCAAGUGGGUGGACAAAAGCAAGCCAUGGAUAGGAAUGGGGUCUCCAUGCACCGAGGACGACCACAAAUUUUUUGCGGCCGCUACAAUGCAAGCCCUUACCAACAACAACUGGAUCUCUCUCAUUGACACCUCCAAUGGCCUAUCACUUGCACAUGUCCCGCAUUUUACUCACCUAUGGGAGAAGAUAUCCAUGAUCUCUCUGAUCGAUGACAUUGAAGAUUCCAUCAUUUGGAAAUUCACCAAGGAUGGGGUGUACUCGGCGUAUAAGGCACGGUUUGAGGGACUCACUUCAUCCGAUCUUGUUCACUCGACAAGAGCUUCGGUGAGAGAAUGGUGGAAUGGCAACCUUCAAAUUCGCCUUGGGUCCCCUAAGGCGCUCGCCUCCUUGAUGAUGUUCAUCUCAUGGGAGAUAUGGACGGAGCGGGAAAGACCCCUGUCCUUUCCCCGGCCCAUCCCGGGGAUAGCUCGCCCGGUGUCGAUAGGCCAGGGAGAAAACCCUCGACUCGCUCGCUCUCUCGCGACCGACCAGGCGCCGUCGACCAAGAUCCAUCUCCGCCUCCGACCUCCGAGCUCCUCCGCCUCCGACCUCCACCGCCGGCGAACGAAGCGACGUCCCUCGCAGCCCUCCCCCCGGUGCUUAGGAUCCACGCUCCGCCCCUCCAGUGACAGCGACGGUGACAGACCGCGGCCGCCACCCUCCUCCUUCCCCGGACCACCUCUCCGCCUCGAAGCUCGUGUCCGAUCCGGUAACGGCGACGGCGACGGCGGCAGGCACCUACUUCGACCAAGGUUACCCCCUCCUCUUCCACGUCAUAUUUUUGCUCUCCAUUCCAUGCACUCACCGUUCAUGAACUUUUUGAUCCAGAUCCAAGAACCUGAGCACCGGCUUCACUUGUUUUAA
rnacentral:rRNA from 1 species